rnacentral:rRNA from 1 species
CCUACGGGUGGCAGCAGUGGGGAAUAUUGGACAAUGGGGGGAACCCUGAUCCAGCCAUGCCGCGUGUGUGAAGAAGGCCCUCGGGUUGUAAAGCACUUUCAGUGAGGAAGAACGCCUGGUGGUUAAUACCCAUCAGGAAAGACAUCACUCACAGAAGAAGCACCGGCUAACUCCGUGCCAGCAGCCGCGGUAAUACGGAGGGUGCGAGCGUUAAUCGGAAUUACUGGGCGUAAAGCGCGCGUAGGUGGCUUGAUAAGCCGGUUGUGAAAGCCCCGGGCUCAACCUGGGAACGGCAUCCGGAACUGUCAAGCUAGAGUGCAGGAGAGGAAGGUAGAAUUCCCGGUGUAGCGGUGAAAUGCGUAGAGAUCGGGAGGAAUACCAGUGGCGAAGGCGGCCUUCUGGACUGACACUGACACUGAGGUGCGAAAGCGUGGGUAGCAAACAGGAUUAGUACCCCUGUAGUC